rnacentral:rRNA from 1 species
GUCGAGCGAUCUGCCUUGAGAUCGGAGUGCUUGCACUCUGUGAAACAAGAUACAGGCUAGCGGCGGACGGGUGAGUAACACGUGGGUAACCUGCCCAAGAGAUCGGGAUAACACCUGGAAACAGAUGCUAAUACCGGAUAACAACAGAUGAUGCCUAUCAACUGUUUAAAAGAUGGUUCUGCUAUCACUCUUGGAUGGACCUGCGGUGCAUUAGCUAGUUGGUAGGGUAACGGCCUACCAAGGCGAUGAUGCAUAGCCGAGUUGAGAGACUGAUCGGCCACAUUGGGACUGAGACACGGCCCAAACUCCUACGGGAGGCAGCAGUAGGGAAUCUUCCACAAUGGACGCAAGUCUGAUGGAGCAACGCCGCGUGAGUGAAGAAGGGCUUCGGCUCGUAAAGCUCUGUUGUUGGUGAAGAAGGACAGGGGUAGUAACUGACCUUUGUUUGACGGUAAUCAAUUAGAAAGUCACGGCUAACUACGUGCCAGCAGCCGCGGUAAUACGUAGGUGGCAAGCGUUGUCCGGAUUUAUUGGGCGUAAAGCGAGUGCAGGCGGCUCGAUAAGUCUGAUGUGAAAGCCUUCGGCUCAACCGGAGAAUUGCAUCAGAAACUGUCGAGCUUGAGUACAGAAGAGGAGAGUGGAACUCCAUGUGUAGCGGUGAAAUGCGUAGAUAUAUGGAAGAACACCGGUGGCGAAGGCGGCUCUCUGGUCUGUUACUGACGCUGAGGCUCGAAAGCAUGGGUAGCGAACAGGAUUAGAUACCCUGGUAGUCCAUGCCGUANACGAUGAGUGCUAAGUGUUGGGAG